GAUGAACGCUGGCGGCGUGCCUAAUACAUGCAAGUCGAGCGAACAGAUGAGAAGCUUGCUUCUCUGAUGUUAGCGGCGGACGGGUGAGUAACACGUGGGUAACCUACCUAUAAGACUGGGAUAACUCCGGGAAACCGGGGCUAAUACCGGAUAAUAUUUUGAACCGCAUGGUUCAAUAGUGAAAGACGGUUUCGGCUAUCACUUAUAGAUGGACCUGCGCCGUAUUAGCUAGUUGGUAAGGUAACGGCUUACCAAGGCAACGAUGCGUAGCCGACCUGAGAGGGUGAUCGGCCACACUGGAACUGAGACACGGUCCAGACUCCUACGGGAGGCAGCAGUAGGGAAUCUUCCGCAAUGGGCGAAAGCCUGACGGAGCAACGCCGCGUGAGUGAUGAAGGUCUUCGGAUCGUAAAACUCUGUUAUUAGGGAAGAACAAACGUGUAAGUAACUGUGCACGUCUUGACGGUACCUAAUCAGAAAGCCACGGCUAACUACGUGCCAGCCGCCGCCGUAA
rnacentral:rRNA from 1 species